rnacentral:ncRNA from 1 species
GUUUCAGGGCGAGGUGAAAUUCCUCACCGGCGGUAUAGUCCGCGAGCUGCCUUUGCCAAAACCGGCGGAGCGGCUGAUCAGGUGUGAUUCCUGAACCGACGGUAUAGUCCGGAUGAGAGAAA